UACGUAGGGUGCAGGCGUUAUUCGGAAUUACUGGGCGUAAAGCGUGCGUAGGCGGUCCGCUAAGAGAGAUGUGAAAUCCCCGGGCUUAACCUGGGAACUGCGUUUCUAACUGGCAGGCUUGAGUGCGGCAGAGGGGGGUGGAAUUCCACGUGUAGCAGUGAAAUGCGUAGAGAUGUGGAGGAACACCGAUGGCGAAGGCAGCCCGCUGGGCUAACACUGACGCUCAUGCACGAAAGCGUGGGGAGCAAACAGG
rnacentral:rRNA from 1 species